rnacentral:lncRNA from 1 species
ACAGCAAUAAUGUUCAUCAAAGUAAGAUUUACAAAUAAGUCAACAUGACCGAAAUGGUCAGUUGACCCCUUUAGGAGUUAUUGCCCUUUAUAGUCAAUUUUUAACCAUUUUUUCGUAAAUCUUAGUUAUCUUUUACAAAAAUCUUCUCCUCUGAAACUACUGGGCCAAAUUAAUUCAAACUUGGCCACAAUCAUCUUUGAGGUACCUUGUUUGAAAAAUGUGUCCGAUGACCUGGCCAUCCAACCAAGAUGGCCACCACGGCUAAAAAUAGAACAGGGGUAACAUGUAGUUUUUUGCUUAUAACUCUGAAACCCAAAUCAUUUAGAGGAAAUCUGACAAGGAGUUAAAUUGUUAAUCAAGUCAAUAUAUAUCUGCCCUGAAAUAUUCAAAUGAAUUGGACAACCGGUUGUUGGGUUGCUGCCCUCCAAUUGGUAAUUUUUAAAAAAAUUUUGCUGUUUUUGGUUAUUAUCUUGAAUACUAUUAUAGAUAGCGAUAAACUGUAAACAGCGAUAAUGUUCAUCAAAGUAAGAUCUACAAAUAAGUCCACAUGACCUAAAUGGUCAAUUGACCCCUUAAGGAGUUAUUGCCCUUUAUAGUCAAUUUUUAACAAUUUUCAUUAAUUUGGUAAAUUUAUGUAAAUUUUUACCAAAUAUUUUUCUCUGUUACUAAUUGGCAAAGUUCAUUAUAGAUAUAAUUGUAAGAAGCAAGAAUGUUCAGUAAAGUAAGAACUUCAAACACAUCACCAUCACCAAAAUACAAUUUUGUCAUGAAUCCAUUUGUGUCCUUUGUUUAAUAUGCACAUAGACCAAGGUGAGCGACACAGGCUCUUUAGAGCCUCUAGUUAAUGUUU